GUGUCCUACGGGACGCAGCAGUGAGGAAUAUUGGUCAAUGGGCGGGAGCCUGAACCAGCCAAGUCGCGUGAGGGAAGAAGGUACUGAGUAUUGUAAACCUCUUUUGCCAGGGGACAAAGGCGGCCACGGGUGGCCGUAAGAGGGUACCUGGAGAAAAAGCAUCGGCUAACUCCGUGCCAGCAGCCGCGGUAAUACGGAGGAUGCGAGCGUUAUCCGGAUUUACUGGGUGUAAAGGGAGCGCAGGCGGCGCGUUAAGCCUGGUGUGAAAGCCCGCGGCCCAACCGCGGGACUGCAUUGGGAACUGG
rnacentral:rRNA from 1 species